rnacentral:rRNA from 1 species
UGGGGAAUAUUGCACAAUGGGGGAAACCCUGAUGCAGCGACGCCGCGUGAGCGAAGAAGGCUUUCGAGUCGUAAAGCUCUGUCCUAUGAGAAGAUAAUGACGGUAUCAUAGGAGGAAGCCCUGGCUAAAUACGUGCCAGCAGCCGCGGUAAUACGUAGGUGGCGAGCGUUAUCCGGAUUUACUGGGCGUAAAGGGCGUGUAGGCGGCUAGAUAAGUGUGAUGUUUAAAUCCAAGGCUUAACCUUGGGGUUCAUUACAAACUGUUUAGCUUGAGUGCUGGAGAGGAUAGUGGAAUUCCUAGUGUAGCGGUAAAAUGCGUAGAUAUUAGGAGGAACACCGGUGGCGAAGGCGGCUAUCUGGACAGUAACUGACGCUGAGGCGCGAAAGCGUGGGGAGCAAACAGG